rnacentral:rRNA from 1 species
GACGAACGCUGGCGGCGUGCUUAACACAUGCAAGUCGAACGGAAAGGCCCCUUUGGGGGUACUCGAGUGGCGAACGGGUGAGUAACACGUGAGUAAACUGCCCUUGACUUCGGGAUAACUUCAGGAAACUGGGGCUAAUACCGGAUAGGAAUCCUUGCUGCAUGGUGGGGGUUGGAAAGCUUCGGCGGUUUUGGAUGGACUCGCGGCUUAUCAGCUUGUUGGUGGGGUAGUGGCUUACCAAGGCUUUGACGGGUAGCCGGCCUGAGAGGGCGACCGGCCACAUUGGGACUGAGAUACGGCCCAGACUCCUACGGGAGGCAGCAGUGGGGAAUAUUGCACAAUGGGCGGAAGCCUGAUGCAGCAACGCCGCGUGCGGGAUGACGGCCUUCGGGUUGUAAACCGCUUUCAGCAGGGGCGAAGCUUGUGGUGACGGUACCUGCAGAAGAAGCACCGGCUAACUACGUG